rnacentral:tRNA from 1 species
CAAAAUGUAGCUUAAUUUUUUAAAGCCCUUCGCUUACACCGAAGCUAUCUCUGUGAAACCCAGAUCAUUUUGA